AUUCCAGCUCCAAUAGCGUAUAUUAAAGUUGUUGCAGUUAAAAAGCUCGUAGUUGAACCUUGGACAAAGUGCGCGUGGUCUACCGCAAGGUACGACUGCGGCGCUGCGUCUCUUUAGGGGGACUCGAUGCUUCGGUGUCGAGGUAACCCGUGUUACUGUGAAGAAAUUAGAGUGUUUAAAGCAGGCUAUCGCUUGAAUACAUCGGCAUGGAAUAACAAGUUGGACUUUGCUCCUACUUGUUGGUUUGAGGGGAAAAGUAAUGAUUAAUAGGGCCAGUUGGGGGCAUUAGUAUUCAGUAGUCAGAGGUGAAAUUCUUGGAUUUACUGAAGACUAACUAGUGCGAAAGCAUUUGCCAAGGAUGUUUUCAUUA
rnacentral:rRNA from 1 species